UACGAAGGGGGCUAGCGUUGCUCGGAAUCACUGGGCUUAAAGGGCGCGUAGGCGGACCACCAAGUCCGGGGUGAAAUCCUUCGGCUUAACCGGAGAAUUGCCUGGGAUACUGGUGGUCUUGAGGGAGGUAGGGGCACGCGGAACUUCCGGUGGAGCGGUGAAAUGCGUUGAUAUCAGGAGGAACACCGGUGGCGAAGGCGGGUCUCUGGGCCGAUACUGACGCUGAGGAGCGAAAGCGUGGGGAGCGAACAGG
rnacentral:rRNA from 1 species